GACGAACGCUGGCGGCGUGCUUAACACAUGCAAGUCGUGCGGUAAGGCCCUUUCGGGGGUACACGAGCGGCGAACGGGUGAGUAACACGUGAGCAACCUGCCCUUCACUUUGGGAUAACUGCCGGAAACGGUGGCUAAUACCGGAUAUGACUUCCUCACGCAUGUGGGGUGGUGGAAAGCCUUCGGGUGGUGGGGGAUUGGCGUGCGGUCUAUCAGCUUGUUGGUGGGGUGAUGGCCUACCAAGGCUUCGACGGGUAGCCGGCCUGGGAGGGUGACCGGCCACACUGGGACUGAGAGACGGACCAGACUCCUACGGGAGGCAGCAGGGGGAAAUAUUGGACAAUGGGCGAAAGCCUGAGCCAGAGACGCCGCGUUAGGGAUGACGGCCUUCGGGUUGUAAACCUCUUUCGCCUGCGACGAAGCGAGAGUGACGGUAGCAGGUAAAGAAGCACCGGCCAACUACGUG
rnacentral:rRNA from 1 species